UGAGAUGUGUCUAUAGAUGUUUUUUUUUUUACCAUAUGUUGCCCUUCCUGUCAAAUGUCUCUGGCUCCUAAGUGCCUACAGAUAUUUUAGUUACUGUGUUGACUUUGUCAGGCAGAUGUUCUCAUCAAUAUAUGGAGUCAGAAGUUUCUAAGUUCAUUUGAGGUUCCGUAUUAAGUCAUGGAUUCUUCAUCGCAGACCCUGACAGCGUCAAACGGAACUGAGAGAUGUAUUCAUCUGGCUGCUUUCCGCUGAGUCGGGGCAAAGCUGGAACGUUUUAAGGCCAGUCAAAGAUGUGGUCAUCAGGAGAGGUCUUGUGUGUGGGAGUAAUCUCUACUUCCUCUAGUCUUUCUUGUGUACCAGACAUUCCAUCUAUGUGAAGAUGCUGCUUACCUGUCCCUCACCCAUCUUGAUCCACGGAUAGGUCGUAAUGAUUUUGCAGGAAAAAGAAGCUGCAGGCGGUGUGAGGUGGGAAAGGGGUGAAAUAUGACAGAAUACAAAAUGAUUUUCCACUGAGGAGUGCUGCCUGACGUGAUGUAUGAUCAGGAGCCACCAGAUGAGUCUUACAGACUUAGGAACCUCAAGCUACAUUGAUGUGAAUUGUUAGAACACCUGGAUAUCGUCAGAAUGAAGCUGAAGUUGCCUCUGGGGUUGGGUGGGAGGAAUAAACUUUAAAUAUCGUCCUUAAGGAGGUCUCUGGGGUAAAGUUCCGAGGAACUGGAGUUCACAAUCUGAAUGAAGGUCAUUAAAUCAUGUAUGAGUUCUCAAA
rnacentral:lncRNA from 1 species